UUAAAUGAGAGUUUGAUCCUGGCUCAGGACGAACGCUGGCGGCGUGCCUAAUACAUGCAAGUCGAGCGAGUCCCUUCGGGGGCUAGCGGCGGACGGGUGAGUAACACGUAGGCAACCUGCCUUGUAGUGGGGGAUAGCCCUCCGAAAGGAGGAUUAAUACCGCAUAACAUCAUUUUAUCGCAUGGUAAAAUGAUCAAAGGAGUAAUCCGCUACAAGAUGGGCCCGCGGCGUAUUAGCUAGUUGGUGAGGUAACGGCUCACCAAGGCUACGAUACAUAGCCGACCUGAGAGGGUGAUCGGCCACACUGGGACUGAGACACGGCCCAGACUCCUACGGGAGGCAGCAG
rnacentral:rRNA from 1 species